GUCUAUGGCCAUGCCACCCUGAACAUGCCCAAUCCCGUCUGAUCUCAGAAGCUAAGCAGAGUCAGGUCUGGUUAAUACUUGGUUGGGAGACCAGCUAGGAAGACCGGGUGCUGUAGGUG
rfam:Pteropus alecto contig14415, whole genome shotgun sequence.